rnacentral:rRNA from 1 species
UGGGGAAUAUUGCACAAUGGGCGCAAGCCUGAUGCAGCCAUGCCGCGUGUAUGAAGAAGGCCUUCGGGUUGUAACGUACUUUCAGUCGGGAGGAAGGUGGUAAGGUUAAUUACCUUAUCACUUGACGCUACCGACAGAAGAAGCACCGGCUAACUCCGUGCCAGCUGCCGCGGUAAUACGGAGGGUGCAAGCGUUAAUCGGAAUUACUGGGCGUAAAGCGCACGCAGGCGGUUGAUUGAGUCAGAUGUGAAAUCCACGGGCUUAACCCGGGAAUUGCAUCUGAUACUGGUCAGCUAGAGUCUUGUAGAGGGGGGUAGAAUUCCAUGUGUAGCGGUGAAAUGCGUAGAGAGGUGGAGGAAUACCGGUGGCGAAGGCGGCCCCCUGGACAAAGACUGACGCUCAGGUGCGAAAGCGUGGGGAGCAAACAGG